UACAGAGGGUGCGAGCGUUGUCCGGAAUCACUGGGCGUAAAGGGCGCGUAGGCGGCCUGAUAAGUAGGGGGGUGAAAUCCUGUGGCUUAACUGCAGGGCUGCCUCCUAGACUGUUAGGCUCGAGCACGGUAGAGGCAGAUGGAAUUCCCGGUGUAGCGGUGGAAUGCGUAGAGAUCGGGAAGAACAUCGGUGGCGAAGGCGGUCUGCUGGGCCGUUGCUGACGCUGAGACGCGAAAGCGUGGGGAGCGAACAGG
rnacentral:rRNA from 1 species